GUUGCAUGCUUGUUUCAUUCAAAAAAACCCUUUUUAUGGAGAGAAAAUUGUUAUAACUAGGCAUUUCUCUGAUAUGGUUGAAUACAGGAUCAAAAAUGUCUGUCCUUUGAGUGGUGCAAUAUGUUUUCCAUAUUGGUUUCCCAUUUAAUGCUUCCUUAAACAAAAAUCUAUUUUCUUUGACAAGUCAAGUGAUAUCCCACAGACCUAUUUGCUGUUUACGUUAUGACUUAUGCAAAUAAAACCAUCCCGGAUUGGAUCUGAGUGUUGCUUUUAGCUGACUCAGAACUCACGUAUAGCGAUUAAAAGAUAUUCUGAAGGCAUGCUUUCCUGAGACAGGCCUGGGAAGACUCAGUUCUUUCUUGAACUCCUUGUGCCCGAGGCCAGUGUUUCAGGAAGAUGCCAGUUAAUUGCCAUCACCGUAUCUUUGUUAUCUUUGUUGCUCAUCUUUGUCCUUUGUGGACAGGGUCUCCUGCAAACCUGGUUCUGUCCAGUGAAGCAUCCCAUGUGCCAAAUAAUCCCCAGGUCCCGAAGUAUGAAACCAUCAGAGAUUUGUGACAUUCCUGGUUUUGGAGUGAAGUGGUAGAAGAGCAUAUGGAAAACACCAACCAGGCACCAGUCUGUUGGAAGGAUAUCCCAAAUGGCUUUGGGUACCUGGUUUGUGAGCAACCACUGUGCUGAUGCAGAGUCACAGUAUGGUUGGGUUGGAAGGGACCUCAAGGAUCAUGAAGUUCCAACCCCCCACCACAGGCAGGGCCACCAACCUCCACAUUUCAUACCAGCCCAGGCUGCCCAGGGCCCCAUCCAACCUGGCCUUGAACACCUCCAGGGAUGGACGGGGCAUCCACAGCCUCUCUGGGCAGCUGUGCCAGCACAAGUCCUUCAGAACAACCAUCACCUCCCUGGUGGCUGGAGCCCAACCAGACCACAAGGAUUCACUGAGACUUACGGUACCUCCGAGAGACAAAGGUCAGGAAAUGGGCUCCUUGCCACUCUACGGCCAUGAUCCAGGUUUUCUGAGACUGAGUACAUUCAUCUGAGCUGUUAGCUGCUACGCUCCACCGCAUCCCUGUAUGAUCUGCCUAGGCUUGGUCCCCCAGAGGAAAUUUCUGCAUGCAUACUGUAUAUGAACUUUAGAUAAAUAAAUAAACACGAGAAACAGCUUCCA
rnacentral:lncRNA from 1 species